rnacentral:rRNA from 1 species
GACGUAGGGCGCGAGCGUUGUCCGGAUUUAUUGGGCGUAAAGAGCUCGUAGGCGGCUUGUCGCGUCGAAUGUGAAAUCCUGCGGCUCAACUGCAGGCUUGCAUUCGAUACGGGCAGGCUCGAGUUCGGUAGGGGAGACUGGAAUUCCUGGUGUAGCGGUGAAAUGCGCAGAUAUCAGGAGGAACACCGGUGGCGAAGGCGUGUCUCUGGGCCGAUACUGACGCUGAGGAGCGAAAGCGUGGGGAGCGAACAGG